rnacentral:lncRNA from 1 species
AUUAUUAUUAGGUAUAUAUCUAGAAAAGGGUAUGUAUAUCGCUGGAAACUCAGAGAGCGUUUUAUGUUGUUAUUCAACAGGAAGUUUACAAUUAAGUAAGGAAGUGUAUGAAUAUUUCGAGGAACUUGAUGAAAUGAAUUGGUCAACCCGAGGUAAUGUAUUGAAUCGAUAUUUGAGGAACACUUCAAUUGGAACGACAGUAAUGCGCUUGUAAAUGUCGUAACAACUUGAAUAUAAAGGCAUUUGCCAGAAACGCACAACCCAGAUUCAAAUUGCAAAAUAGCGACGUUUCGUGCAAGUGUAUAUUGCGCAGUUUCGACGCCUCUAAACUGUCUAUCUCCCUAACUACGCGACGGACCAUAUUAUCCGCAUGCAACCGCCCUGAAAAGGAAUAUCCCUGAAGGUAUUGAGCCGCAAUGACCGCCAUAAGAGAGGGGACCUAGUCACUGGUAGCGGACUGUUUUUUCAUGAAGUAAGACCGGCUACCAGGAAAAAUACAUGCUUUACCUUACUACGGGAGAGAAAAUGUUUAAAAAAACUUUGCCGCCAUAAUUGUCUUAUUCUCGCCGAUCCAAACGACCAACAUGAUUUCCACCAAGUCUUCUUACGGGUACCAUUUGCACCCUCUAAGCUAUGGGUACCAUUUGUACCCCCUAACCCCAAGACCAACGAUGCCAGUUUUUUUUAAAGGUUUAGAUGAGGAAAGUGACAAAUUCUUUUUUACUAACAAAGCGACGAGAUAUUACAAAGAAUCAAACAGCAAUUUACAAUCGUCGUUGUAUUUCGAAAGACAAAACUCUGGCAAAGCUUUUCUUGCACACAUCCUGCCUCAUGACCCUGUCUAAACUAUUGUGUUGCUGCGCUUGUAAUGCGUAUGCACCAAGGCAGUAUAUUUACACAGAGGGAAACCAUGCAAUAACCAUACACUCAAAUGUUCCCUCUUUUUUCAGAUCGGUUUUCAAAUUCAGAAGCUGACGAAUUUCGAAAGUACAGUUUUUGCAAAGAAAAUCAUCGUUAUAAACUUUCGUUCAAGCUAUCAAAGUCUACUGAACAGAAAAUAGAUCGAAUGUGUAAAUAUACUGAACAUUUAGACCGCCAGGAUUUAUGCCGGAUUUCAUUGUACCCAGAACAAGAAAACAAACAAUGGAUGGCCUGGAUACAAGUAUCUACAGCCUGUUCGCAGGCAAACAAGAAAGAACAAUACCUGAGAGUGGACAUUUCUGUGACCUUUGUAUGUCCAUUAACUGAAUAACCAUUACGGGGCCAUAUUUAUCCAUCAUAGUUUCUUUGCAUCCAUUUAUUAUAGUCACAAAUAUCCACUGCUGACCAUGGACAUUUGAUCAAUCCUUUCAUUUCAUCCGAGGCAUCCAAUUUCAUCAUCGUCUUUGUUGUUUGGUACAUUUUCUUUAAAUUCAUAGCUUCGUCAUCAUAACUACUGUCUUUGGUGUGUUGUUGUAAUUUGAUUAGAAAUAGAGGUAUUCCCUCCUGUAUUGCUCUUCAAGGCAUGUGUCAUCUUGGUAACAUGAUAUUUUAUAAAUCAAUAUUUCAUCAGCAUGUUCAGUAAUGAUCUGUAAAACAAAGCAAAAAAACAAUAAUUAAUUCAGAUAUAAAACUUAAACCAUUUUGCUACAAAACCCCCAAAUUAAACCGUUAGGUUGUACUGUGCCCUGAUGCAUGCUCUACUUGAGUAUUUUACUGUCCAACGCCAGACGAUUUUAUGCUUCAUAAUGAGACUGCCCAAGUGUCUAGUUACCCAUUAACUGCCAGUGCACCCCCUGCUUAAUUUUAUUUGUCAAGCCAGCCAGAUAGUUGAAUUGCUGUUCUCCAAGAUAAAUAGGAUUAACUCCUUAAGCUGCAAAGGAACUCAAAUGUCUGAUAUCAGAUCAUUUUACUCAUCAAGAGCAAAGUCUUGUGCAUCAGAUGCUGUACUCGGGGAACUUCAAAAUACAAACUGGCAUGGUACCGGUACUGUGUGAAAAAUUUUUUUAUGAACUUUGUUUUGGUUAACCCUUUACUUAAGUUGCAUUGUGCCCCGAUGCACCCUACUUUACUAUUUUACUAUCUAACGCCACAGGAUUUUACUUGUCAAGUGGAGAGUGCUGCCACUCAAUGGGUUAAAGCACAAAAAUAGUUCUAAAAUCACGAGCCGUGCAAUGUUUUAGAAAACAAUAAUCUAACUAAUCUUGACGUUUUUGACAGCCAUAUGCAAUGGUCACAUCACAAACAUUGGAAUAUGGUCUGUGCAACAAUUUUGCCAAAAAUAGACGCUGGAUGGUAUAUUAUCAGCAACACAAGCUUUAGUAUUAUUAGUAAUGAAUUAAGUCAUUUCAACAGCAAUGACAUUAUUGAUUUAUUUAUUUUAUUGUAACAAAAAGUACAAAAGCGAUUACACUCAAAUAAGUUUUAUUGUGUUCAUAAAGGACUAACUUAGAUUUUGAAAUAUACGAUAUCAAAAUACCCCCAUAUACGACUCCCCCCUCCCAUCUAUAUGCCCAACAAAAAACUCUUAAGAACAAAUAUGAGCCCCAUCCUCGUUCCCAGGGUCUCACCUCCUGCAGGCUCCAGAGAGACGUUAAAAAAUUUAACAACUGUAUGUUAUACAGAUAUUACAUUACUGCUAUCAAUAUAAACUAUGAAUCUGAAAAUCCCCAGACUUGGAAAUCAAUCUGUUUGAAAUGUAACACUUCUCCAUAGUCUUGCUACUCCACUCUCUUGUUGUUCCUGAUAGUUGUAUUUAUUCUCGUAAAUUAUGGUAUUGUAUAUUUAUCUAGUAUUUGUAAAAUAGAGCCCACACCCACAGUAAUUGGUUUUUAUACUGUUGUGAUGACACUGCCACUCUUUUAUGUGGUAAAGAUAUCAUAAAUUCAUAACAUAUCUCAAAUUAGUUGGACACCCCACUUAUAGAAAAUCAUGAAUAGAAACAAAAAUCCUAAAUCAUGCCUACUAAAAAUAAAAACAUCAAAUUCCUAUCAACA